UGGGGGAAGACCACUUACAACCUGACUCUCUCCUAGGUCAAUGAGCCGGGGCAGAGAGUCUCCCCAGGACACGGUUUCCUUGCAGAAUAAUGGAAGUUUAGCCACCAGACAGAAAGUCAAGACAGGGACUUCUGGUCUACCCGGGAGACUAAGGUGGUUGACGGCGUUUCAUUGAUUCUCUGGAGGACCCUUCACAUGUGCGCUCCCGAUGGAGAAUCCCAUCUAACACACAGGACAUGGGGUUGGUGUGAACCCAACGCACGGAGGCCAACACCUGUGCCAUCUGUGCUCAUGGAGAGCUGGAGAAUCCGGUGAGUGUGUGUGCUUCCUUGUGAGUGAGUGCUGUGGGCAUACAUAUGAGCUACUCCAUGCAAAACCAGGUCCCGCACGUUGACCUUGCCCAACAGGUUGUUUGUGGGGGGCUUGAGAGGGGUCUCUCCACCAUGCUAGUCAUGGGCAUCAUUGUCUGUGGUGGAGCCUCCAAAAUGGAGGUUGAAAUGAGCAGUUAGAGCGUGUCCCUGGGUGCACAUAGCACUCGGGCCCUGGAGAGAGGGUACCAUGCACCCGGGCCACCCGGAGCCCAAUGGGUUCCGAGCCAUAGCUGGGCUGAGAACACCUCAGUCACCCUCCAGUGGCUCCGCUGGACGUGCACCAUCGAUGAGCUGUAGAUAAGAUGCAUAUAGAGAGAGUUGCUUGUUCUCCACUAGAGCCUUGAGAGGAAAAUACUCUUCUGGCUACUUUCUUAAAAAAUAAGAACAUGGAGAUGCAGAAGAGCGCGGAUACGCAUUCACAUAGCACCAGGGGCAGGAUGAAGAAACGACUGGCAUGCCAGGGCUAAGAGUCCAUUGAGAAACAUGCUCGCCGUCUGUUAGAAAACCCGUAAGGCUCGGAAGUUUAGCAGCAGAAGGACCUUCCUUCUGGGAUGGAAACGGCCUUGCCCAUAAGUGCUCGGAAGCACCCAGGGGUGAGCUCAUGGGAGUCUAUGCAGCAGCCACAGCCGUCCCAUCACUGGAUUGUGACUUCCUUCUGGGAAGUCAGACUCCCGGGGUUGGUAGUCCCAGCUGUGGUAGCACACGCACGUGAUCACAUGUGGUCUCCCUGACCAGACCCUGCAAAACCCCAGAGAUCUCCAGGGCCUAAGGUGACACGGCAAGCAGGGAGGUGGCCGGCUUACGUUGGAGUCUCAAGAUCUUCUGUGCAUUUCCAGGCGUAGCAGUUCUAAGGAAUAAAAAGGCCGUUUCCAAAAAAUCAUUUUAUGAAGGGAGGCAUUCCCCUUGUCCAUGAAGGUUCUCCAACCUUGACAUUUGAAUGAGGUCCAUGCAUGUCUACGUAGAAGUGGCGCCAAAAAGAGCCUCAAGAAAUAAGUACAGCUACCCAGUGAUGGGUAACGUGUGUGUCUACGUGUGCACCUGCUCCAGGAGGAGCGUGCAGAGUUUCAGUUCGAAAGAGAUCUUUGAAUCCAGAGGUGUAAAGACUGGGGGAGACAAUGGGUAAAAGGACGGGAUGCUGCUGCCCCACGCCGUGCCUCUGCCUCUCUCGAGAGGACAUUCGUUCGGAGCAUGCUCUGGUCCAGAUGGGAUCUCUGUGCAGCUCUGAAUGUCUUUUCCUCAAAGAAGGACGGUCUGGUGAACACGGUCUAGUGCACACACCCGCAGCAGCCACGCUCAGGGAGCCGGGGAGAGGUCAGCAAGUGUGAUGAGCGGCAGCAGCAGCAGCAGCAGGACCGGGGCUGUUCCUCACCUCUGAGCUCCUCUGUGGAGCUGAUUAGGGGCCACCGUGCAUCGUGAACACGACUGAUGCAUGCAGGCAGCCCAGUCUAUUACCCUCCAGUCGCCGCAUCCCGUGUCGGGCGUUGGCGGUAACUGUGCCUGGCGUGCCCUGUUGCCUCUUGUCAGGCUCCGCUACGCCUCGCUCAGUGUUUUCCAGGAGGCUGGCUCCCUCAGGGAUGUUGCUCCUUCCCGUGGCAGAUGGCUCGUGACUUAAAUCCUGUCUGCGGUUUCCCACCAGGAUGACAGGUGGUCUGACCUAGAAGGGACUCUGGGGACCUGCGUGUUCAGACUGUGAAAACCAAGUCUUGGUGGUCCCAUGGUGUAUUUGGGUGACGGGCACACAUCUGAGCACAUGCUCCUCCAAUUAUGUCUCAAUUAGUUAGGGUUGCCUUGAUGCACCUGCCUGAUGCCUGGCGUCCUUAGCUGACAUGUGUGCUUACGUGGGUAUAAGACACACGUCCGUACAUACGUGCAUUGAUGUCCUCGGCCCCACAUGCACGUACCGCACCACAUGCAUACAGGCACACAUGUACCAACACACGGCACAUACUGCUCCCUAUACACAAUUCGCCAUCACCGAAUUCGCAAUAUCAAUGAUACAAAACUAUCCCCCUGACAGCUGCCAUCCGAUAGUUUGUUCUCCUUUGUUUAGACAUAGUAGC